rnacentral:misc_RNA from 1 species
UCCGUGUUAACCACGGCAGUCUCGCGUGAAAAGUAACACGCGACGAGGGUUGCGCUCGUUUCGCCACUUAAGGAAACACCUCACGGCACGAGCUGACGGCAACCAUGCAGCACCUGUCUAGCAAUCUCAAGGACGUCAACAUUUCUGUUAACCACAGCUAGAUUUCUAGUCCUGGUAAGGUUCCUCGCUUAGCAUCGAAUUAAACCACACGCUCCACCACUUGUGCAGGCUCCCGUCUAUUCCUUUGAGUUUUAAGCUUGCGCUCGUACUACCCAGGCGGCUAACUUAACGCGUUAGCUUCGACACUGAAGGGGUCGAUACCUCCAAUGCCUAGUUAGCAUCGUUUACGGCGUGGACUA